UACGUAGGGUGCGAGCGUUAAUCGGAAUUACUGGGCGUAAAGCGUGCGUAGGCGGUCCGCAAAGUCUGAUGUGAAAGCCCCGGGCUCAACCUGGGAACUGCAUUGGAAACUAACGGGCUCGAGUGUGGCAGAGGGGGGUGGAAUUCCACGUGUAGCAGUGAAAUGCGUAGAGAUGUGGAGGAACACCGAUGGCGAAGGCAGCCCCCUGGGCUGAGAUUGACGCUCAGGCACGAAAGCGUGGGGAGCAAACAGG
rnacentral:rRNA from 1 species